GUAGCUGUGGUGUAACUAACACAUUAGUUUUUCAUACUAAAGAUGUGUCAAGCACCAUCUAUU
rnacentral:tRNA from 1 species